rnacentral:rRNA from 1 species
UCAUGGCUCAGAUUGAACGCUGGCGGCAUGCUUUACACAUGCAAGUCGAACGGUAACAGGUUAAGCUGACGAGUGGCGAACGGGUGAGUAAUGCAUCGGAACGUGCCCGGUCGUGGGGGAUAACGCAGCGAAAGCUGCGCUAAUACCGCAUACGAUCUGAGGAUGAAAGCGGGGGACCGUAAGGCCUCGCGCGAUCGGAGCGGCCGAUGUCAGAUUAGGUAGUUGGUGGGGUAAAGGCCCACCAAGGCGACGAUCUGUAGCUGGUCUGAGAGGACGACCAGCCACACUGGGACUGAGACACGGUCCAGACUCCUACGGGAGGCAGCAGUGGGGAAUAUUGGACAAUGGGCGAAAGCCUGAUCCAGCCAUGCCGCGUGUGUGAAGAAGGUCUUCGGAUUGUAAAGCACUUUAAGUUGGGAGGAAGGGCAGUAAGCUAAUACCUUGCUGUUUUGACGUUACCGACAGAAUAAGCACCGGCUAACUCUGUG